rnacentral:rRNA from 1 species
GCCAGACUCCUACGGGAGGCAGCAGUGGGGGAUAUUGCACAAUGGGGGAAACCCUGAUGCAGCGACGCCGCGUGAGUGAAGAAGUAUUUCGGUAUGUAAAGCUCUAUCAGCAGGGAAGAAAAAAGACGGUACCUGACUAAGAAGCCCCGGCUAACUACGUGCCAGCAGCCGCGGUAAUACGUAGGGGGCAAGCGUUAUCCGGAUUUACUGGGUGUAAAGGGAGCGUAGACGGCAAUACAAGUCGGAAGUGAAAUACCCGGGCUCAACCUGGGAACUGCUUUGGAAACUGUAUGGCUGGAGUGCUGGAGAGGUAAGCGGAAUUCCUAGUGUAGCGGUGAAAUGCGUAGAUAUUAGGAGGAACACCAGUGGCGAAGGCGGCUUACUGGACAGUAACUGACGUUGAGGCUCGAAAGCGUGGGGAGCAAACAGGAUUAGAUACCCGGGUAG